rnacentral:rRNA from 1 species
ACCAGACUCCUACGGGAGGCAGCAGUGGGGAAUAUUGCACAAUGGGGGGAACCCUGAUGCAGCGACGCCGCGUGAGUGAAGAAGUAUUUCGGUAUGUAAAGCUCUCUCAGCAGGGAAGAUAAUGACGGUACCUGACUAAGAAGCCCCGGCUAACUACGUGCCAGCAGCCGCGGUAAUACGUAGGGGGCAAGCGUUAUCCGGAUUUACUGGGUGUAAAGGGUGCGUAGGUGGCAGGGCAAGUCAGAUGUGAAAGCCCGGGGCCCAACCCCGGUACUGCAUUUGAAACUGUCCGGCUGGAGUGCAGGAGAGGUAAGCGGAAUUCCUAGUGUAGCGGUGAAAUGCGUAGAUAUUAGGAGGAACACCAGUGGCGAAGGCGGCUUACUGGACUGUAACUGACACUGAGGCACGAAAGCGUGGGGAGCAAACAGGAUUAGAUACCCUAGUA